rnacentral:rRNA from 1 species
UACGUAGGGGGGCAAGCGUUGUCCGGAAUCAUUGGGCGUAAAGAGCGUGUAGGCGGCCAGAAAAGUCCGCUGUGAAAACUCGAGGCUCAACUUCGAGCUGUCGGUGGAAACUUUCUGGCUAGAGUCCGGAAGAGGAGAAUGGAAUUCCUGGUGUAGCGGUGAAAUGCGCAGAUAUCAGGAAGAACACCGUGGCGAAGGCGGUUCUCUGGACGGUACUGACGCUGAGGUGCGAAGCGUGGAGCAACAGG